AUUGAACGCUGGCGGCACGCUUAACACAUGCAAGUCGAACGGCAGCAGAAGAAAGCUUGCUUUCUUGCUGGCGAGUGGCGGACGGGUGAGUAAUGCGUAGGAACCUACCCUGAAGAGGGGGAUAACCCGGGGAAACUCGGACUAAAACCGCAUAAUACUUUUCGAAGGAAAGAUGCCUCACACUUAAGCUAUUUUUUAUAAAGAUAGUUUAAGGUGAGGUGUUACUUUAGGAGGGGCCUACGUUGGAUUAGCUUGUUGGUGAGGUAAAGGCUCACCAAGGCAAUGAUCCAUAGCUGUUCUGAGAGGAAGAUCAGCCACAUUGGGACUGAGACACGGCCCAGACUCCUACGGGAGGCAGCAGUGGGGAAUAUUGGACAAUGGGGGAAACCCUGAUCCAGCGAUGCCGCGUGUGUGAAGAAGGCCUGCGGGUUGUAAAGCACUUUUAAUGGGGAGGAAUAGUUCCAUGUUAAUAGCGUGGAGCAGUGACGUUACCCAUAGAAUAAGCACCGGCAAACUCUGUGCCAGCAGCCGCGGUAAUACAGAGGGUGCGAGCGUUAAUCGGAAUGACUGGGCGUAAAGGGCACGUAGGCGGUUGGACAAGUUAGAUGUGAAAUAUCAGGGCUCAACCUUGGUGCUGCAUCUAAAACUGUUCAACUAGAGUUCACUAGAGGGAAGCGGAAUUUCCGGUGUAGCGGUGAAAUGCGUAGAUAUCGGAAGGAACAUCAGUGGCGAAGGCGGCUUUCUGGAGUUGAACUGACGCUAAGGUGCGAAAGCGUGGGGAGCAAACGGGAUUAGAUACCCCGGUAGUCCACGCUGUAAACGAUGAGUACUAGCUGUUGGAAUGCGACGACAUUUUAGUAGCGUAGUUAACGCGAUAAGUACUCCGCCUGGGGAUUACGGCCGCAAGGCUAAAACUCAAAGGAAUUGACGGGGGCCCGCACAAGCGGUGGAACAUGUGGUUUAAUUCGAUGCAACGCGAAGAACCUUACCUACUCUUGACAUCUAUGGAACAUCUGAGAGAUCAGUUGGUGCUGGAAACAGAACCAUAAGACAGGUGCUGCAUGGCUGUCGUCAGCUCGUGUCGUGAGAUGUUGGGUUAAGUCCCGUAACGAGCGCAACCCUUGUCCUUAGUUGCCAGCACAUUAUGGUGGGGACUCUAAGGAGACUGCCGGUGAUAAGCCGGAGGAAGGUGGGGACGACGUCAAGUCAUCAUGGCCUUUAUGAGUAGGGCUACACACGUGUUACAAUGGGCAGUACAGAGGGAGGCCAAGCCGUGAGGUGGAGCGGAACUCAGAAAACUGUUCGUAGUCCGGAUUGAAGUCUGCAAUUCGACUUCAUGAAGUUGGAAUCGCUAGUAAUCGCGAAUCAGAACGUCGCGGUGAAUACGUUCCCGGGCCUUGUACACACCGCCCGUCACACCAUGGGAGUGGGUUGCAAAAGAAGUGGGUAGCUUAACAUUGGGCGCUCACCACUUUGUGAUUCAUGACUGGGGUG
rnacentral:rRNA from 1 species